GGGUGGUUGGCGCAAUGGUAGCGCGUUGGUUUUCGGUUAUCGGAAGACACCAAAGGUUGUGGGUUCGAGCCCCAUGCUGCUCG